GCAGUGGUGGUUCAGUGGUAGAAUUCUAGCCUUUCAUGCCAGAGACCCAGAUUUAAUUCCUGGCCACUGCA